GGCAUCGAAGCAGUCUAUGUCAUACUUCCAAGAAAAGCUUGCACUGUCAUAAACAAAGAAUGCCUGUACCAUAACCGACACAGGUGGGUAGGUAGAGUAUACUAAGGGGCGCGAGAUAACUCUCUCUAAGGAACUCGGCAAAAUGACUCCGUAACUUCGGGAGAAGGAGUGCCUUAUUUAUAAGGUUGCAAUAACAAGAUCCAAGCAACUGUUUAUCAAAAACACAGGUCUCCGCUAAGUCGUAAGACGAUGUAUGGGGGCUGACGCCUGCCCAGUGCCAGAAGGUUAAAGAAGUUGGUUAGUGUAUGCGAAGCUGAUGACUGAAGCCCUGGUGAACGGCGGCCGUAACAAUAACGGUCCUAAGGUAGCGAAAUUCCUUGUCGGGUAAGUUCCGACCCGCACGAAAGGCGUAAUGAUUUGGAUACUGUCUCGGAGAGAGGCUCGGUGAAAUAGACUUGUCUGUGAAGAUGCGGACUACCUGCACCAGGACAGAAAGACCCUAUGAAGCUUUACUGUAACUUGAAAUUGGAAUUGGACUUUGCUUGCGCAGUAUAGGUGGGAAGCGUUGAAGAUAUUCUUGCGGGAGUAUUGGAGCUAUCAGUGAGAUACCACUCUUGUAAUGUUAGAUUUCUAACUUUGAACCAUAAUCUGGUCAAAGAACAGUUUCAGGUGGGCAGUUUGACUGGGGCGGUCGCCUCCCAAAUGGUAACGGAGGCGUACAAAGGUUUCCUCUGAACGGAUAGAAAUCGUAUCUAGAGUGUAAAGGCAUAAGGAAGCUUGACUGUGAGACCUACAAGUCGAGCAGGGACGAAAGUCGGUCUUAGUGAUCUGACGGUACUGAGUGGAAAGGCCGUCACUCAACGGAUAAAAGUUACUCUAGGAUAACAGGCUGAUCUCCCCCAAGAGUUCACAUCGACGGGGAGGUUUGGCACCUCGAUGUCGGCUCAUCGCAUCCUGGGGCGGUAGUACGUCCCAAGGGUUGGGCUGUUCGCCCAUGAAAGCGGUACGCGAGCUGGGUUCAGAACGUCGUGAGACAGUUCGGUCCAUAUCCGGUGUAGGCGUUAGAAUAUUGAGAGGAGCCUUCUUUAGUACGAGAGGACCGAGAAGGACACACCGCUGGUGUACCAGUUAUCGUGCCAACGGUAAACGCUGGGUAGCUAUGUGUGGAGUGGAUAACCGCUGAAAGCAUCUAAGUGGGAAGCCCACCUCAAGAUGAGUAUUC
rnacentral:rRNA from 1 species